GGAGUGCCCUGUGUCUGAGAGGAGGAAACACAACCCAGAAUUAGCUCAACUGACAGCAGAGAGCACACAGACGCAUUUACAGAUUAGAACAAAAUUCUGAAAGAAGUCUCCCAUACCACGGCCUCGGUGUUACUGUGCGUGCUGCUCCUGCUGUGGGUCCUCCGGUGCUCCAGCCAGGUCUCAGAGGGUUCAUAUCUCGAUGCUCACAAAUCCCUCACCCUGCUGCUCCACCUCCAUCCCCGCCUCUCUCAUGUGCAUC